GGGACAGGGCAGAGCAGCGGACUCAUAACCCGCGGGUUCCGGGUUCAAGUCCCGGAGGUCCCA
rnacentral:tRNA from 1 species